GAGUGAAGAGAAGGAGUGAUUGAGGAAUAGAGGAAUAGAGGGGAGAAGAGAGGGAGGGAUAGAGUGAUAAAGGGGAGAAGAAGAGGGAUAGACGGGAGAAGAGAAGGAGGGAUAGAGGAGAGAAGAGAAGGAGGGAUGGAGGAAUAGAGGAAUGGACAGGAGAAGAGAAGGAGAGAUAAUGGGGAGAAGAGAGGGAGGGAUGGAGGGAUGGACGGGAGAAGAGAAGGAGAGAUAACGGGGAGAAGAGAGAGAGGAAUAGAGGGAUAGAGGGGAGAAGAGGGGGAGGAAGAGAUGGAUAGAGGGAUAAAGGGGAGAACAGAGGGAGGGAUUGAGGAAUAGAAGAGAGAAGAGAGAGAGGGGUAGAGAGGAGAAAAGAGGGAGGGAUAGAGGGAUCGAGGAAUAGAGGGAUAGACAGGAGAAGAGAAGGAGGGAUAGAGGGGAGAAAAGAGGGAGGGAUUGAGGAAUAGAGGGAUAGAGGGGAGAACAGAGGGAGGGAUUGAGGAGAGAAGAGAGGGAGGGAUUGAGGAAUAGAGGAAUAAAGGAGAGAAAAGUGGGAGGGAUAGAGAGUGGAAGAGAGGGAGGAAUAGAGGGAUAGAGGGAUAGACGGGAGAACAUAGGGAGGGAUAGAAAGGAGAGGGAGGAAUAGAGGGAUAGAGGGGAGAAGAAAAGGAGGGAUUGAGGAAUAGGGGGAUAGAGGGGAGAAAUGAGGGAAAGAGGUAUAGAGGGGAGAAGAGAGGGAGGAAUGGAGGUGAUAGAGGGAUAGAGGAGAGAAAAGGGGGAGGGAGAGAGGGAUGGAGGAAUAGAGGGAUAGAGGGGAAAAG
ensembl:lncRNA